rnacentral:lncRNA from 1 species
AUGUCAUGUAUAUGAGUAGGAAGAUCACUAAAAAAAGUUCUAUUGUAUUAUCCAUGCGAUUGGCUUGUAGGACAUUAUUUUUUCAUCAGGUUCUAGUUGUAGUCUCUGUGUCUCUUCCUCUCCUGUCUUUUUCUUCCCUUUCUCAUUCUCUCUUCUUGCCUUCCCUCUCAAUCCUUCCUCGCCUUUCUAUUUAUUAAUUUGAUGUGCUGGCAUAUUUUCCAACACGGAC